CCUGGGCACAGUGGCGUGUGCCUAUAGUCCCAGCUACUCGGGAGGCUGAGGUGGGAGGAUCACUUGAGCCCAGGACUUCUGGGCAGUAGUGCACUAUGCUGAUCGGGUGUCCACACUAAGUUCGGCAUCAAUAUGGUGACCUCCUGGGAGCGGGGGACCACCAGGUUGCCUAAGGAGUGGUGAACCGGCCCAGGUCGGAAACGGAGCAGGUUAAAACUCCCAUGCUGAUCAGUAGUGGGAUCUUGCCUGUGAAUAGCCGCUGCACUCCAGCCUGGGCAACAUAGUGAGACCCCGACUCU
rnacentral:SRP_RNA from 1 species